rnacentral:rRNA from 1 species
CAUUCCCUAGUAGCGGCGAGCGAAGCGGGAAGAGCUCAAAUUUAUAAUCUGGCACCUUCGGUGUCCGAGUUGUAAUCUCUAGAAAUGUUUUCCGCGUUGGACCGCACACAAGUCUGUUGGAAUACAGCGGCAUAGUGGUGAGACCCCCGUAUAUGGUGCGGACGCCCAGCGCUUUGUGAUACAUUUUCGAAGAGUCGAGUGUUUGGGAAUAG